AUUGAACGCUGGCGGCAUGCCUUACACAUGCAAGUCGAACGGCAGCACGGGAGCAAUCCUGGUGGCGAGUGGCGAACGGGUGAGUAAUAUAUCGGAACGUGCCCAGUCGUGGGGGAUAACGUAGCGAAAGCUACGCUAAUACCGCAUACUAUCUAUGGAUGAAAGCGGGGGAUCGCAAGACCUCGCGCGAUUGGAGCGGCCGAUAUCAGAUUAGGUAGUUGGUGAGGUAAAGGCUCACCAAGCCGACGAUCUGUAGCUGGUCUGAGAGGACGACCAGCCACACUGGGACUGAGACACGGCCCAGACUCCUACGGGAGGCAGCAGUGGGGAAUUUUGGACAAUGGGCGCAAGCCUGAUCCAGCAAUGCCGCGUGCAGGAUGAAGGCCUCGGUUGUAAC
rnacentral:rRNA from 1 species